ACACACAGCAACACAACUUAAAGCAGCAACACGACGACACAAACACCGUGUCUGCCGACAUCACAACACCACGAGGAAAAGUCAGAACAGUCGGACGGAAAACAUGAACAAAAACAGCUUUGAUAGAACAGAGAGGCAGGUACACGUGUGUUCAGGUACAGGUGUGUUCAGGUACAGGUGUGUUCAGGUACACGUGUGUUCAGGUACACGUGUGUUCAGGUACACGUGUGUUCAGGUACACGUGUGUUCAGGUACAGGUGUGUUCAGGUACACGUGUGUUCAGGUACAGGUGUGUUCAGGUACACGUGUGUUCAGGUACACGUGUGUUCAGGUACAGGUGUGUUCAGGUACAGGUGUGUUCAGGUACAGGUGUGUUCAGGU